rnacentral:misc_RNA from 1 species
CCAAUAGCGUAUAUUAAAGUUGUUGCAGUUAAAAAGCUCGUAGUUGAAUUUCGGGAUUGGCGCAUCGGUCGUGCCUUACGGGGUAUGAACUGGUGCAGUCAAUUUCUCACCUUCUGGAGAACCGCGAUGUCCUUAAUUGGGUGCCGCGGGGAACCAGGACCUUUACUUUGAAAAAAUUAGAGUGUUUAAAGCAGGCAUUUUUGCUUGAAUACAUUAGCAUGGAAUAAUAAAAUAGGACGGCAUGGUUCUAUUUUGUUGGUUUCUAGGACCACCGUAAUGAUUAAUAGGGAUAGUUGGGGGCAUUAGUAUUCAAUUGUCAGAGGUGAAAUUCUUGGAUUUAUUGAAGACUAACUACUGCGAAAGCAUUUGCCAAGGAUGUUUUCAUUAAUCAAGAACGAAAGUUAGGGGAUCGAAGACGAUCAGAUACCGUCGUAGUCUUAACCAUAAACUAUGCCGACUAGGGAUCGGAUGAUGUUAAUUUUAUAAUGACUCAUUCGGCGCCUUACG